rnacentral:lncRNA from 1 species
CACAGUCCGUAGUGUUGAGUUUGUGUCAGGUCUUGUUGCUAGUUAGGUCUUGUUAGAGUCCAGUUCGUGUGUUUUUUCCCACCGUUUCCAUCAAUUUCUGGCCACCGCCGUAAUUUUUUCCCACUUCCGGACCGUUUUGUCCUCUAAUUCGGAGUCCGUUCGUAAAACAGCCAUAACUUUCGCAUACGUACUCCGAUUUCGACGUUCCAUAUAUCAAAAUCGAUCAGAAAAAAUUUUGGAUCUGUCUGUCCUCGCUGCGGGUGAGUUCGACAAUUUUAGAAAGCCCAAAUUCGCCUAUGAAGUUUGAUCUUUCACCUCGUGAUGUUUUUUUCACAUUUUUCACAAUCUUCAGAAAAUUCCAUAGGCCACGUCUUUCACUUGUUUAAGCUCAAAUUUUCUAUGGUUACUUCUUUAGUGCUCCUAAGUAAAAGAAAAAUAUAAAAAAAUAAAAAGAAUUGCAGGGUUUCGGAUCGUGUUGUUCGGAAGCCAGAUCGAUUUGUGUCUCGUUUCCACCAAAUCGAGAGUUACUGAACCUUUCGGAAAGAUCAGGCCACCCUUGUUCUCAUCAAGUGGUAAUCAAAGCUUCAGGUAUACUGUUAGGUUCACAUCUACCCUUAGUUUAUAGUGUUCUUAUGUUCACAUCUACUCUUAGUUUCGAGUGUUCUUGUGUUCGUCCAUAAGACCAGUGCCAUAUCGUUUUCCUGUCCUACAACCCUUCAACGCCAUAGCCUUUGCAUAUUUCAGUUUCAGAGUCCAUAGUGUUGAGUUUGUGUCCUUGUCGAGGUCUUGUUGCUAGGUAGGUCUUGUUAGAGUC